rnacentral:rRNA from 1 species
CUACGGGUUGCUGCAGUAGGGAAUCUUAGACAAUGGGGGAAACCCUGAUCUAGCCAUGCCGCGUGAGUGAUGAAGGCCUUAGGGUUGUAAAGCUCUUUCGCUGGGGAAGAUAAUGACGGUACCCAGUAAAGAAACCCCGGCUAACUCCGUGCCAGCAGCCGCGGUAAUACGGAGGGGGUUAGCGUUGUUCGGAAUUACUGGGCGUAAAGCGCGCGUAGGCGGGCGAUUAAGUCAGGGGUGAAAUCCCGGGGCUCAACCCCGGAACUGCCUUUGAUACUGGUAGUCUUGAGUUCGAGAGAGGUGAGUGGAAUUCCGAGUGUAGAGGUGAAAUUCGUAGAUAUUCGGAGGAACAUCAGUGGCGAAGGCGACUCACUGGCUCGAUACUGACGCUGAGGUGCGAAAGUGUGGGGAGCAAACAGGAUUAGAUACCCCAGUAGUC